rnacentral:rRNA from 1 species
GUAACAGGAAGCAGCUUGCUGCUUCGCUGACGAGUGGCGGACGGGUGAGUAAUGUCUGGGAAACUGCCUGAUGGAGGGGGAUAACUACUGGAAACGGUAGCUAAUACCGCAUAACGUCGCAAGACCAAAGAGGGGGACCUUCGGGCCUCUUGCCAUCGGAUGUGCCCAGAUGGGAUUAGCUAGUAGGUGGGGUAACGGCUCACCUAGGCGACGAUCCCUAGCUGGUCUGAGAGGAUGACCAGCCACACUGGAACUGAGACACGGUCCAGACUCCUACGGGAGGCAGCAGUGGGGAAUAUUGCACAAUGGGCGCAAGCCUGAUGCAGCCAUGCCGCGUGUAUGAAGAAGGCCUUCGGGUUGUAAAGUACUUUCAGCGGGGAGGAAGGCGRUAAGGUUAAUAACCUCAUCAAUUGACGUUACCC